rnacentral:rRNA from 1 species
CUCGGUCCUUGGAGCGGUGGGGAUCAUACCUGUUCCCAUCCCGAACACAGUAGUCAAGCCCACCAGCGCCGAAGAUACUCGGGACGUCGGUCCCCGGGAAAAUAGGUCAGGGCCGGGA